rnacentral:rRNA from 1 species
AGCAGCCGCGGUAAUUCCAGCUCCAAUAGCGUAUAUUAAAGUUGUUGCAGUUAAAAAGCUCGUAGUUGAAUUUCGGGAUCAAUACGUCGGUCGUGCUUUCGGGUACGUACUGGCGUCAUUGGUUUCUCCUUUCUGACGAGCCAUGAUGUCAUUAAUUUGGUGUUAUGGGGAGUUAGGACUGUUACUUUGAAAAAAUUAGAGUGUUUAAAGCAGGCAUUAGCUUGAAUACAUUAGCAUGGAAUAAUGAAAUAGGACGUUCGAUCCUAUUUUGUUGGUUUCUAGGAUCAACGUAAUGAUUAAUAGGGAUAGUUGGGGGCAUUAGUAUUCAAUUGUCAGAGGUGAAAUUCUUGGAUUUAUUGAAGACUAACUACUGCGAAAGCAUUUGCCAAGGAUGUUUUCAUUAAUCAAGAACGAAAGUUAGGGGAUCGAAGACGAUCAGAUACCGUCGUAGUCUUAACCAUAAACUAUGCCGACUAGGGAUCGGAUGAUGUUAAUUUUUUAAUGACUCAUUCGGCGCCUUACG